rnacentral:rRNA from 1 species
AGAGUUUGAUCCUGGCUCAGAGCGAACGCUGGCGGCAGGCCUAACACAUGCAAGUCGAACGAACUCUUCGGAGUUAGUGGCGGACGGGUGAGUAACACGUGGGAACGUGCCUUUAGGUUCGGAAUAACUCAGGGAAACUUGUGCUAAUACCGAAUGUGCCCUUCGGGGGAAAGAUUUAUCGCCUUUAGAGCGGCCCGCGUCUGAUUAGCUUGUUGGUGGGGUAAUGGCCCACCAAGGCUACGAUCAGUAGCUGGUCUGAGAGGAUGACCAGCCACAUUGGGACUGAGACACGGCCCAAACUCCUACGGGAGGCAGCAGUGGGGAAUCUUGCGCAAUGGGCGAAAGCCUGACGCAGCCAUGCCGCGUGUAUGAUGAAGGUCUUAGGAUUGUAAAAUACUUUCACCGGUGAAGAUAAUGACUGUAGCCGGAGAAGAAG